ensembl:Y_RNA Y_RNA Y RNA
GGCUGGUCCAAUGGUAGUGGGUUAUCAGAACUUAUUAACAUUAGUGUCACUAAAGUUGGUAUACAGCCCCUCACUGCUGAAUUUUACUGGCUUUAA